AAAAGUAACAAGGUCUCCGUUGGUGAACCAGCGGAGGGAUCAUU
rnacentral:rRNA from 1 species